rnacentral:snRNA from 1 species
UGGCAGUCCAUAUUAUUAAAAUUGAAAUGAUACAGAGAAAAUUAGCAUGGCACCUGUGCAAGGAUAACAUACAAAUUCGUGAAGCAUUCCAUAUUUUU